rnacentral:tRNA from 1 species
GAUACCUUGGCCGAGUAGCUAGGCGGCAGUCCGCAAAACUGUUUACAUGGGUGCAAAUCCUAUAGGUAUCUCCA